CCCCUCGCUCACUCCUGCAACUCGUCACCCGGAACCACCCGCCGCCAGCAGUCAUCGUUGGAGCUCCAAUUCAGGAGAAGACAGCAGAAGAGAGUCGUUGUCCGAUCCACUUCACUCCCUAGGAGCGACGUGGCCGUUUCCAAUCUCGAAGACGACUGGAAGAGAUUAGCAGGUGGCGCCCUAGAGUCCACAACGGUGGUGUCUUCGUUCCGGUGAUAGAGGCUUCGGCUCUAUCCCUUCUGGUUGGUCUUGUAUUUGGUGGAAGAGGGGACGCUGCAAGCUAGUACUGUUGCUAAUCGUAUUAAGUUCUAUAUGCAGCAGUGCUGCUUACAGGUUAUUGUAAGUCAGUGGAGUGGUGACAUUUUAUUGCUCAAAUGGUUUUGGAAUUUGAAAAUUUGUUGUUAUAUCCUGGUGAUUCCUUUGCAUCUUUCCCCCGGUGACACCUCAAUUGAAAGGGACAGUACAAAUUGAUGGAAUUAAUGAACAAAUUGAAGCUGCCACAGUUGGUGAAUGAAGUUAUUAGCAAGGUAUGUCGACUUGGUAUUUUUCUGCAUAUUUGGGUACUACGUCUACCUGGUUCAUAUGGUUUUUCUAUAGCUUAGAAUGGUUAACUCCUAUUUUAAGACGAAAACAAAGUAAAGUUUGAAGGAGGCUAUAUGUGUACAGGGCUGCUGCCAUUGCUAUGAGGAUCCUGAACUGUUCUUUUAUUUUGUAAUUUAGUAAAAUAUGCGAUUGUUUUCUCCUUGUAAUUUGGCUUAUAAUGGGGUUCUGAUUCAACUGUCUUUGUUUUGUUACAUCAGCUUGAUGAUUGCAUUAAGGAUUAUGACAAGGUUGUCGAAAAGGGAAGAGAGGUAAGGGCAUACUUUAAGAUGAUAGCAAAAGCGAGUAAUCUACCUAG